rnacentral:rRNA from 1 species
UAACUAGUCCGUAUUACCCCGGUAGUACGCCGACUUCUUAGAGGGACUACCGGCUCAAGCCGAUGGAAGUUUGAGGCAAUAACAGGUCUGUGAUGCCCUUAGAUGUUCUGGGCCG